AUGUGCCUGAUCCAGCCUCUUCGCUCAUUGGGAAGCCUUACCAAUACUGAUUUUAGUUGUAUGUCAAAAGUUUCUGAGUUGGAACAAAUCAUCUAUUACAUGCCCUUCAUGUUGUCAGAGUCUCCCAAAGAGCCCGAACAGCUGAGGAAGUUCUUCAUUGGAGGGCUGAGCUUUGAAACAGCCAAUGAGAGCCUGGGGAGCCAUUCUGAGCAAUGGGGAACGAUCCCCAACUGUGUGGUCAUGAGAGAUCCAAACACCAAGCACUCCAGGAGCUUUGGGUUUGUCACACACGCCGCUGUGGAGGAGGCGGACACAGACAUGAGUGCAAGGCCACGCAGGCGGAGGGAAGAGAGGUGGCGCCAGACAGCUGUCUCACGAGAAGAUUCUCAAAGACCAGGUGCCCACUUAACUGUGAAAAAGAUAUUUGUUGGUGGCAUUAAAGAAGACACUGAAGAACAUCACCUGAGAGAUUAUUUCGAACAUGGCAAGAAAAGGGGCUCUUCCUUUGUAACCUUUGACGACCAUGACUCUGUGGAUAAGAUUGUCAUCCAGAAAUACUGUACUGUGAGAGGCCACGGCUGUGAAGUUAGGAAAGCCCCGUCAGUGGAAGAGAUGGCGAGUGAUUCAUCAGCCAAAGAGGUCCAAGUGGUUCAGGAAGCUUUGGUGGUGGUUGUGGAGGUGGUUUCAGUGGGACCGACAACUUUAAUUGUAGAGGAAACUUCAGUGGUCCUAGUGGCUUGGGUGGCAGCCGUGGUGGUGGUGGAUACAGUGGCAGUGGCGAUGGCUAUCAUGGAUUUGGUAAUGAGGAAAGCAAUUUUGGAGGUGGUGAAACUACAAUGCUUUUGGCAAUUACAACCAUCAGUCUUCAAAUUUUGGACCCGCAAAGGGAGGAAACUUUGGAGGCAGAAGUUCUGGCCCCGAUGGUGGUGGAGGCCAAUACCUUGCCAAACCACAAAACCAAGGCAGCUAUGGCGGUUCCAGUAGCAGCAGCAGCUAUGGCAGUGGCAGAAGAUUUUAAUUAGGAAACAAAGCUUAGCAGGAGAGGAGAGCCAGAGAAGUGACAGGGAAGCUACAGGUUACAACAGAUUUGUGAACUCAGCCAAGCACAGUGGUGGCAGGGCCUAGCUGCUACAAAGAAGAUAUGAUUUAGACAAAUACUCACGAGUAUGGGCAAAAAACUCGAGGACUGUAUUUGUGACUAAUUGUAUAACAGGUUAUUUUAGUUCCUGUUCUGUGGAAAGUGUAAAGCAUUCCAAUAAAGGGUUUUAGUGUAGUUUUUUUUUUUUUUGCACGCAUGCUGUUGAUUGCUAAAUGUAAUAGUUUGAUCAUCACACUGAAUAAAUGUCUUUUUUUUUAAUGUGCUGUGUAAAGUUAGUCUACUCUGAAGCCAUCUUAGUAAAUUUCCCCAACGGUGUGAAGUUCGAAUUCCUUCAGGGUGAUGCCAGGUUCUAUUUGGAAUUUAUAUACAACCUGCUUGGGUGGAGAAGCCAUUGUCUUCAGAAACCUUGGUGUAGUUGAACCGAUAGCUACUGUUGUGACCUGAAGUUCACCAUUAAAAGGGAUUCCCCAAGCAAAAUCAUGGAAUCAUUG